rnacentral:rRNA from 1 species
AGUGAACGCUGGCGGUAGGCCUAACACAUGCAAGUCGAACGGCAGCACAGUAAGAGCUUGCUCUUACGGGUGGCGAGUGGCGGACGGGUGAGGAAUACAUCGGAAUCUACUUUUUCGUGGGGGAUAACGUAGGGAAACUUACGCUAAUACCGCAUACGACCUACGGGUGAAAGCAGGGGAUCUUCGGACCUUGCGCGAUUGAAUGAGCCGAUGUCGGAUUAGCUAGUUGGCGGGGUAAAGGCCCACCAAGGCGACGAUCCGUAGCUGGUCUGAGGGGAUGAUCAGCCACACUGGAACUGAGACACGGUCCAGACUCCUACGGGAGGCAGCAGUGGGGAAUAUUGGACAAUGGGCGCAAGCCUGAUCCAGCCAUACCGCGUGGGUGAAGAAGGCCUUCGGGUUGUAAAGCCCUUUUGUUGGGAAAGAAAAGCAGCAGGUUAAUACCCCGCUGUUCGGACGGUACCCAAAGAAUAAGCACCGGCUAACUUCGU